GAAAAAGAUGGGAAAAUCAAGCUCCUACCAUGCCCAGAAAUAUAAUUGAUGCCUUAUAAAUUUACACCUAACUGCCCAAGUCUUAUAAAUACCAGAAAUAAGAAACAAUAGGAUUUUACCCCAAUUUAGAAAUAUCAUUUAAAACCAAUCUAGUACCUUCUUCCCUUCCCUCCCCCAAGAGGUAUAAUUCUAUUGUUUAGAUUAUAACUAGGGGGAGGGGAAUGAAGCUAUUUCAUGGAAGAAGUAGAACCUCAUCUCAUUUUAAAAAUAGCAUAAUGCCUUCAUGAAAUUAUUAAGCUCAUCACCCAUGUCAACCGGGAUUAUAAAUGACUACAUUGUGGAAUGACUGAAUUAAUGACACACUGUAUUUCUCCUAAGAAAAGAUUUUGACAUUCAUCAAGUGAACAUAAAAAGAUGGGCUGGUAUGCCAUUAUCACCCUGCCCGUGAAAUCCAGCCGGCUCGAGCUGUCCUGGAGUACCCAUCAAUCACCAACACUGAGGACCACAGCUCUUCUCCCUGGCAGCCUGGCUGGCCAGGCAGGUGGCAAAGCCCGAGAGCGUGGCAUUUCUGUCAAUAAACAAGGUGGCAUGUCACUCUCAACAUGUCACUUACUACCUCUGUCACGCCUGGCUUCUAAAAAUGCAACAGCCAGGAAGCAGAUGGAUUACAUCUUUUGGGAGCCUUGUAAACUGGCUGUGAAUAAGAAGGAAGAGUGUGGGCUGGUCCUAGUUGGUUGAGAGAAGUUCUAAGUUUUGAACAGGGCUGAAAAGGGACGUCAAGGAAAAAAGUGAAGUGUCUAAGAGGUGGAGAAAGACACAGAAGACUAACAAGGCAGGUCAAGAGCGGAGGACAGAAGCUGUUGCCUUUUCACACAGGGAGUUGGACCCUUGGAGAGCUGUGUCUCUGCAGUGGCCCCGGGGAAGGUGUACAUUUCUGUCUAGCUCAUUCCCAAGGCUGAGCUUAAGGAUUUCUCAAGAAAACCUUUGCUAACCUAGACUGUAGUGCUCUCUGCUUCUCCUCAACAUCUGCACCAGAUUUCCUUGAUGACAAAUGUCAAGCAAGUGACGCCUUUUAUCACUUCCAGUGGGGGAGUCUCACUCCGCCAGGAGCAGCAGUCCUGGGAUGUCAACACACUCCAUGGUUUGAGGUCACCAAGAAAGACACUACUCACACAGGACCAACCAGAGAAAGCCAAAUAUGCUCCCCAAACCGAUCACAUAAGAUGCCGUGUUUCCGGUUAGCCUGCUACCAGCUUCCCCGUGCCAACAGCCUUUAAUCAGAGCACUCCUGAAGCCAUCUCUUUUCUUAUACUAUAAAGCUUUUCCCUUCCCCUGCCUGCCUCUGAGUCUCGGGCAAAUGCCAGUGAAGGUGGGUGAUUCCCUUGCUAUAGCCAGCUCUGAAUAUAU